AUUGAACGCUGGCGGCAGGCCUAACACAUGCAAGUCGAGCGGAUGAAGGGAGCUUGCUCCUGGAUUCAGCGGCGGACGGGUGAGUAAUGCCUAGGAAUCUGCCUGGUAGUGGGGGAUAACGUCCGGAAACGGGCGCUAAUACCGCAUACGUCCUGAGGGAGAAAGUGGGGGAUCUUCGGACCUCACGCUAUCAGAUGAGCCUAGGUCGGAUUAGCUAGUUGGUGGGGUAAAGGCCUACCAAGGCGACGAUCCGUAACUGGUCUGAGAGGAUGAUCAGUCACACUGGAACUGAGACACGGUCCAGACUCCUACGGGAGGCAGCAGUGGGGAAUAUUGGACAAUGGGCGAAAGCCUGAUCCAGCCAUGCCGCGUGUGUGAAGAAGGUCUUUGGAUUGUAAAGCACUUUAAGUUGGGAGGAAGGGCAGUAAGUUAAUACCUUGCUGUUUUGACGUUACCAACAGAAUAAGCACCGGCUAACUUCGU
rnacentral:rRNA from 1 species